CCUACGGGAGGCAGCAGUGAGGAAUAUUGGUCAAUGGGCGGAAGCCUGAACCAGCCAAGUAGCGUGCAGGAUGACGGCCCUACCGGUUGUAAACUGCUUUUAUAAGGGAAUAACGUGAGUCACGUGUAGCGUUUUGUAUGUACUUUAUGAAUAAGGAUCGGCUAACUCCGUGCCAGCAGCCGCGGUAAUACGGAAGGUCCGGUCGUUAUCCGGAUUUAUUGGGUUUAAAGGGAGCGUAGAGUGCAUGUGAAGUCUGUUGUGAAAGUUUGCGGCUCAACCGGAACAUUGCAGCUGAUACUGGCGGUCUUGAGUACAGGUGAGGCAGGCGGAAUUCGUCGUGUAGCGGUGAAAUGCUUAGAUAUCACGAAGAACCCCGAUUGCGAAGGCAGCUUACUAAACCGCAACUGACACUGAUGCUCGAAAGCGUGGGUAUCAAACAGGAUUAGAUACCCCUGUAGUC
rnacentral:rRNA from 1 species